UGAACGCUGGCGGCGUGCCUCAUACAUGCAAGUCGAGCGAACAGACGCGGAGCUUGCUCCUCUGACGUUAGCGGCGGACGGGUGAGUAACACGUGGAUAACCUACCUAUAAGACUGGGAUAACUUCGGGAAACCGGAGCUAAUACCGGAUAAUAUAUUGAACCGCAUGGUUCAAUAGUGAAAGACGGUUUUGCUGUCACUUAUAGAUGGAUCCGCGCCGCAUUAGCUAGUUGGUAAGGUAACGGCUUACCAAGGCGACGAUGCGUAGCCGACCUGAGAGGGUGAUCGGCCACACUGGAACUGAGACACGGUCCAGACUCCUACGGGAGGCAGCAGUAGGGAAUCUUCCGCAAUGGGCGAAAGCCUGACGGAGCAACGCCGCGUGAGUGAUGAAGGUCUUCGGAUCGUAAAACUCUGUUAUUAGGGAAGAACAAAUGUGUAAGUAACUAUGCACGUCUUGACGGUACCUAAUCAGAAAGCCACGGCUAACUACGUG
rnacentral:rRNA from 1 species